UACGGGGGGGGCAAGCGUUGUUCGGAAUUACUGGGCGUAAAGCGCGUGUAGGCUGCUUGGAAAGUCGGAUGUGAAAGCCCUGGGCUCAACCCAGGAAGUGCAUUCGAAACUUCCGAGCUCGAGUUCUGGAGAGGAUAGCGGAAUUCUCGGUGUAGAGGUGAAAUUCGUAGAUAUCGAGAGGAACACCGGUGGCGAAGGCGGCUAUCUGGACAGAAACUGACGCUGAGACGCGAAAGCGUGGGGAGCAAACAGG
rnacentral:rRNA from 1 species